AACUGAAGAGUUUGAUCAUGGCUCAGAUUGAACGCUGGCGGCAGGCUUAACACAUGCAAGUCGAGCGGGGGAAGGUAGCUUGCUACCGGACCUAGCGGCGGACGGGUGAGUAA
rnacentral:rRNA from 1 species